rnacentral:rRNA from 1 species
AUGCAAGUCGAGCGGGGAAGGGUAGCUUGCUACCUGAUCUAGCGGCGGACGGGUGAGUAAUGCUUAGGAAUCUGCCUAUUAGUGGGGGACAACAUUCCGAAAGGAAUGCUAAUACCGCAUACGCCCUACGGGGGAAAGCAGGGGAUCUUCGGACCUUGCGCUAAUAGAUGAGCCUAAGUCAGAUUAGCUAGUUGGUGGGGUAAAGGCCUACCAAGGCGACGAUCUGUAGCGGGUCUGAGAGGAUGAUCCGCCACACUGGGACUGAGACACGGCCCAGACUCCUACGGGAGGCAGCAGUGGGGAAUAUUGGACAAUGGGCGAAAGCCUGAUCCAGCCAUGCCGCGUGUGUGAAGAAGGCCUUUUGGUUGUAAAGCACUUUAAGCGAGGAGGAGGCUACUGAGAUUAAUACUCUUGGAUAGUUGGACGUUACUCGCAGAAUAAGCACCGGCUAACUCUGUGCCAGCAGCCGCGGUAAUACAGAGGGUGCGAGCGUUAAUCGGAUUUACUGGGCGUAAAGCGUGCGUAGGCGGCUUUUUAAGUCGGAUGUGAAAUCCCUGAGCUUAACUUAGGAAUUGCAUUCGAUACUGGGAAGCUAGAGUAUGGGAGAGGAUGGUAGAAUUCCAGGUGUAGCGGUGAAAUGCGUAGAGAUCUGGAGGAAUACCGAUGGCGAAGGCAGCCAUCUGGCCUAAUACUGACGCUGAGGUACGAAAGCAUGGGGAGCAAACAGGAUUAGAUACCCUGGUAGUCCAUGCCGUAAACGAUGUCUACUAGCCGUUGGGGCCUUUGAGGCUUUAGUGGCGCAGCUAACGCGAUAAGUAGACCGCCUGGGGAGUACGGUCGCAAGACUAAAACUCAAAUGAAUUU